rnacentral:lncRNA from 1 species
CCCGGACGGCCUCACCAUGAUGAAACGGGCAGCUGCUGCUGCAGUGGGAGGAGGUAAGUUACCCGGAUCGCCUGUCUCCAGGCCCUCACCUAGCCUGGUCCCCGGGCUGCUGGGAGAACGCAGAGAUGAGGCGCUGGGCUGGCUCUCACCCUCCACUUCCGAAGCUGCCCGAGUAGCCUGAGUGAGCCACAGCAUCAAAAUACUCCAGGGAAAAGCUCACUCCCAUUCCUGACCCAGCUUCUCUUCUAGUCCUUAUGUCGAAUAAGCAUAGGAGGAAGAUCGUUUGAAAGAGGAUUUGCAGCUAAACUCCACGUGGCUUAUUUCACAUUUAUGCGUGGACACACACACACACACACACACACACACACAAAUUUGAGACCAAUGAAGGGUAUUGACUUCCUCAGCAUCACACAGCAAGUUAGAGACAAACCAGGGCCAUGGCUGGUCCUUCUAUGACAUCUUUGCUUCACCUGGCUCCACACUCCACCUUUUCUUCACCAGAAGACCACUAAGUUGCCAUCUCUGUAUUGCUCAAGCUGACAGUCUCCGGAAACUGUCAAGGAAUUCCUAAGCGGGGGGCGGGGGGAAGGGUCCCUUCUCCUGAGCCCACCUCUGCACUCAGCUUCUCUCUCCCCACAGCCCUGGCAGUGGGGGCUGUGCCCGUGGUGCUCAGUGCCAUGGGCUUCACUGGGGCAGGAAUCGCCGCGUCCUCCAUAGCAGCCAAGAUGAUGUCCGCAGCAGCCAUUGCCAACGGGGGUGGUGUUUCUGCGGGGAGCCUGGUGGCUACUCUGCAGUCCGUGGGUAAGUGUCCUAGACAGGACCACCAGAGCUGCGAGAAGAUCCAGCCCUGAGGCUGAGCCCGAGGGAAGCUCUUCUCACCCUGAAGUUCCGUGACCCUCAGCUUCCUGGGUCUUCAGUCUCUCCCUCACUGUCCCCUC